AACAGUUGGUGCCGCAUUUUGCGGAGAAUAGGGAAACAGGUGAGAGGCCUGUGCGAUCUCGUCACUGUAUGCAGCGAGUAGUUGUCGAUGAUGCCACUGAGGAGACUUGGGAAGGCAGACAGACUAUGUGGAACUGCGAGUCAGGAGACCUGCCAGCUGUG
rnacentral:ncRNA from 1 species